rnacentral:misc_RNA from 1 species
AAAUGAGGCCUCAAAUACAAAAAUGCAUUGUUACACUAUAGCAUAAUUGUAUCUUUGAAGAAAAUUGGUGGAUAAUCAAUUGACGAACAAGGAAGCAAAACCAAUCUACAAUCACAACAAUUACGACUACUACGAUACUAUUUCUCUAAUAUUCCAAAAUUCCUUCAUUUUAAGGCAAGGGAACAAAAAAAAAUAUAUAUGUAGGACUGAGUAGUAGGGUUCCGUUUUACCCCCAUCAUGGGUCUCUAGUGCUUUAAUUCCUUCUACCUUUGUUACGCUUUGUAGAUACUGUCGUCCACCCGUCUGGGUCCACUUCAGCUGGCUGCUUUCUCACGGGUUCAACUAUCAUAUCCUGACCCAAACUUGGCUGGCUUUCCAUAGAAUCAAUUGCCAUAUCGGAUGAAUUAUUGCCAAAGUUCUCAUUUCGGUCAUCCCCAUCAUUACUACUGUCAUCGUCAUCACUAGCAUCUUGUCUGACAUAAGUAGCAGGUCUCCUCCCAACAUUUGUUUCCCUUAGCACUUUGAUUGAAUUGAAAUCCCCUUCCAGACACUCUUCAUGCAUAUACAUCAAUUUUUCUGCUACCUCCUCAAGGCUGCCAUCAUUGACUUCAGUAUUUAGAGAUAUCAUGAACUCAUCUAGAAUUUCUUCUAUAUCAUCCAUGUAUACUUUUUCUUUGGAUUGUGUAAAAGCGGAAAAAAUGUCAACAUUGAGUUGAUUGGAUUUCUCACGAGUAUCUCGGCCACCCCACUCGUUCUCGAUAGCCAUCUGAAGAGCAGUCCAUCUAGUUAACACCAAACCGAUACCUUCCUGUAGCUGUGCAGCUGCCUCCGCCGUCAGCUGCUGAACUGGUGCGUUGCUGCUGCCGCCGUCCAUUCUAAACACUCCUCGCUUCAGUAGGGUUUUUGCCGGAAGAAGAAGUUUUGGGAGAAG